rnacentral:rRNA from 1 species
CGGGGUGGAGUAAUGUCUGGGAAACUGCCUGAUGGAGGGGGGUAACUACUGGAAACGGUAGCUAAUACCGCAUAACGUCGCAAGACCAAAGAGGGGGACCUUCGGGCCUCUUGCCAUCGGAUGUGCCCAGAUGGGAUUAGCUAGCAGGUGGGGUAACGGCUCACCUAGGCGACGAUCCCUAGCUGGUCUGAGAGGAUGACCAGCCACACUGGAACUGAGACACGGUCCAG